UACGUAGGGUCCGAGCGUUGUCCGGAAUUACUGGGCGUAAAGAGCUCGUAGGUGGUUUGUCGCGUUGUUCGUGAAAACUCACAGCUUAACUGUGGGCGUGCGGGCGAUACGGGCAGACUGGAGUACUGCAGGGGAGACUGGAAUUCCUGGUGUAGCGGUGGAAUGCGCAGAUAUCAGGAGGAACACCGGUGGCGAAGGUGGGUCUCUGGGCAGUAACUGACGCUGGAGGAGCGAAAGCCGUGGGGAGCGAACAGG
rnacentral:rRNA from 1 species